GACGUAGGUGGCGAACGUUAUCCGGAAUUAUUGGGCGUAAAGGGUGCGUAGAUGGCUUGACAAGUUAUCAGUGGUAAAUCGAGGCUCAACCUCGUGGAAACUUGUAAUACUGUCCGGCUUGAGUGCAGGAGAGGUUAAUGGAACUCUAUGUGGAGCGGUAAAAUGCGUAGAUAUCGAGAGGAACACCUGCGGCGAAGGCGGGUUGCUGGGCCGACACUGACGCUGAUGCGCGAAAGCCAGGGGAGCGAACGGG
rnacentral:rRNA from 1 species